AUUGAACGCUGGCGGCAUGCUUUACACAUGCAAGUCGAACGGUAACAGGCCUUCGGGUGCUGACGAGUGGCGAACGGGUGAGUAAUGCAUCGGAACGUGCCCAGAGGUGGGGGAUAACGCAGCGAAAGCUGUGCUAAUACCGCAUGUGAUCUGAGGAUGAAAGCGGGGGACCAGGCAGCAAUGUUUGGCCUCGCGCCUUUGGAGCGGCCGAUGUCAGAUUAGGUAGUUGGUGGGGUAAAGGCCUACCAAGCCGACGAUCUGUAGCUGGUCUGAGAGGACGACCAGCCACCCUGGGACUGAGACACGGCCCAGACUCCUACGGGAGGCAGCAGUGGGGAAUUUUGGACAAUGGGCGCAAGCCUGAUCCAGCAAUGCCGCGUGCGGGAAGAAGGCCUUCGGGUUGUAAACCGCUUUUGUACGGAACGAAAAGGCUCUGGCUAAUACCUGGGGCUGAUGACGGUACCGUAAGAAUAAGCACCGGCUAACUACGUG
rnacentral:rRNA from 1 species